rnacentral:rRNA from 1 species
UUAAAAAUAAAAUUAAUAAUAUAAUAAAUAUAAAAAAAAUUUUUAAAAAUAAAAUAUUUAAUGGGGGGUUAAAGUAUUUUAUAAAGAAAAAAUUGUAUUAUUUAUAGAGAAUUAGUAUUGUAAAAGAAUUUUGAAAAAUAUGAAAUAAUAAUUUAUGGGGAAGUAAAUUUUAUUUGUUGUAUCUUGUGUAUCAGAGUUUAUUAAUAAAAAUUUUUAAGUAAAAAUAUCUCGAAUUUAAAAGAGUUAAUUAAUUAAUAAAGUUAAUGUUGCAUAAUUAUUUUAAAUAAUUAAUUAGAAAUGAAAUGUUAAUCGUUUUUAAAUAUAUCUAGUUUUUUUAGAAAAAAAUUUAAUUUUAAAUUAAAAUUUGUGAUUUUUAUUUAUUAUAAUUAAUAAAAAUUAAUUUUAAUUUAAUAUUUUAGGGGAUAAGCUUUAAAUUAAAAUAUUAUAAUAUUAAUUUUAAUAUUUGAAAUUUUUAAAAUUUAUAUUUUUUAUAAAUUAUAGUUUUUUAUAAAUAAUUUCAUUUAUUUUUAAAAUUUAAAAUAAAUUUAUUUAAUUUUUUAUAAAAAAAUAAUUUUUAAUAAAAAAAAAUUAGAAAUAAUGAUAAAAUUAGUAUAAAUUAUAAAAAUAAUAUAAAUAAUAAUAAAAAUAAUAAAAAGGAAUUCGGCAAAUAUAUAUAUUCACUUGUUUAUCGAAAACAUGUCUUUUUGUAAAUAAUUUAAAGUCUAAUCUGCCCACUGAAUUUAUUUAAAGGGCUGCAGUAUAUUGACUGUACAAAGGUAGCAUAAUAAAUAGUCUUUUAAUUGAAGACUUGUAUGAAUGAUUUAAUGAAAUAUAAACUGUCUCAUUAUUAAAAAUAGAAAUUAAUUUUUUAGUCAAAAAGCUAAAAUAAAUAUAAAAGACGAGAAGACCCUAUAGAGUUUUAUAGUUUCUUAUAUGUUAAUUUUAUAUAAAAUUUAAAAUUAAUAUAUAAUAAAUUAUUAUGUUGGGGUGAUAGAAAAAUUAAAAAAACUUUUUUUAAAAAUUAACAUUAAUAUAUGAAUAUUUGAUCCAUAAUUUAUGAUUAAAAGAGUAAAUUACCUUAGGGAUAACAGCGUAAUUUUUUUUUUAGUUCAAAUAAAAAAAAAGUUUGCGACCUCGAUGUUGGAUUAAGAUAAAAUAUAAAUGCAAAAGUUUAAAAUUUUGAUCUGUUCGAUCAUUAAAAUCUUACAUGAUCUGAGUUCAAACCGGUGUAAGCCAGGUUGGUUUCUAUCUUUAUAAAAAUAAAAUAAUUUA